UAGCAUCGGCAAGGCAUCGCUCGCAUAUUCCACUGACCUCGCUUUGUUAUCUUUAACCGAAAAGCUGAAGAAAGCAAUCGAUGGGGGCUACUACGCAGGUUCUGUAUUUAUAGAUUUCACCAAAGCAUUCGAUACUAUCAACCACCACAUUCUUUUU
rnacentral:lncRNA from 1 species